GCCUGCCUGGUUCAGUCAGCAGAGUGUGGGACUCUUGAUCUCAGGAUUGUGGGUUCGAGCCCCACGUUGGGGA
rnacentral:tRNA from 1 species